GGGGAAUAUUGGACAAUGGACCAAGAGUCUGAUCCAGCAAUUCUGUGUGCACGAUGAAGUUUUUCGGAAUGUAAAGUGCUUUCAGUUGGGAAGAAAAGAAUGACGGUACCAACAGAAGAAGUGACGGCUAAAUACGUGCCAGCAGCCGCGGUAAUACGUAUGUCACAAGCGUUAUCCGGAUUUAUUGGGCGUAAAGCGCGUCUAGGUGGUUAUGUAAGCCUGAUGUGAAAAUGCAGGGCUCAACUCUGUAUUGCGUUGGAAACUGUGUAACUAGAGUACUGGAGAGGUAAGCGGAACUACAAGUGUAGAGGUGAAAUUCGUAGAUAUUUGUAGGAAUGCCGAUGGGGAAGCCAGCUUACUGGACAGAUACUGACGCUGAAGCGCGAAAGCGUGGGUAGCAAACAGGAUUAGAUACCCUGGUAGUCCACGCCGUAAACGAUGAUUACUAGGUGUUGGGGGUCGAACCUCAGCGCCCAAGCAAACGCGAUAAGUAAUCCGCCUGGGGAGUACGUACGCAAGUAUG
rnacentral:rRNA from 1 species